ensembl:lncRNA
CUCAGAGAUGGGGGCUGGAACUGGCUCAUCUUCAAUGUCCCUUCUAACCCAAGCCAUUGUAUGAUGAGAAGAUUCAGGAGGGAGAGCAGAGCUCGGCCAGCAGAGAAGGUUUACAGAAGACUUUUUUCUACCUUUGAUGCCUCUGCAUUCAGUGGGGUGUCAAGAAAAUCCUUACAGAGAGCAGAUGCUGCAGAAAUACACCACUGCAAAUGGAGGAAGCGAGGCAGCACGGAAGGCGGACGGACCACGAUGUUUCAGCUCACAGCAGCAGCCCAGCCCACCCCCUCCUGCACCUUCAGGAGCACUGAGAUCUCAGCAUGAGGGCAUGAGAUGAAGGAAGAAGAUUCUGUCUUGCUGCCUUGCUGGGAUGACACGUGUCCCACUGCUCCCACAGAUGGCCUCCUCCUGCAUCCUGCCUGCACAACAUAGGUCUCAACCUGCUCAUUUUUUGUUGGUUCUACGCUGUUGUACUUUGCCUUGAGCUGCCAUCACCUGCUCUCUGAGCAAGGCACAUCUCCUCCCAGCAGCAACCAGGCAGGUGCAGGUACAGGGAUCCAAGAGCAGCAACCCAACAGCUGGCAACAGCUCCAAGCCUGGGAAGCCCUGGGCAUCAUUCACCUGGCUCCGGCAUGCUCCAGUCAUUCAAGUGUCGUCCCAUCCAGGAACAGAUUGCAGUGGACAAAGCACCUCUCCACAUUCUCCCUUAGGUGGUGAUGGAGGUGUUCAAAGAGAGCCAGCACAUGCAAGAAGGUAGCUAACCGCUCCUCUUUCAGUUUGUAGGUGUGUGCUCUUUUCUUCCCCUCCUUCCAUUUAGUAUCAUUGUUCCUUGGCAUCAAGAAAGAAACAAAUUCUUACUUCAUGGCAAGUGUUGGCCCAGUACUGCUUCCAUCUGGCCUGACACAACAGGGAUGGAGCUCUUGCCUUGCUCGCCUCAGACCUGGGAUGUCUUUGGCUGGCUCAGGAGCUCAUCAAUCCACCUGCAAGGAAAAACAACACCAUCAGGUUGGCGCACUGGUUCAGAGCUUAAAACUGCUGCCAAACAUUUUGGAUGCUAUCACAAAGAUUCGUAACCAUUUUCUUUCCAUCUAAUCUAGUAUUCUGGGGGCUACUUUUUUCCCUCUGAUAUAAGAAUUGUUAGGACUGUGCUGAACCUGGAUG